UACGGAGGGUGCAAGCAUUGAUCGGAAUUACUGGGCGUAAAGGGCGCGUAGGCGGUGAAAUAAGUCAGAUGUGAAAUUCCGGGGCUCAACCCCGGAGCUGCAUUUGAAACUAUUUUUCUAGAGUUCAGUUAGGGUAAACGGAAUUCCACGUGUAGCGGUGAAAUGCGUAGAUAUGUGGAAGAACACCGGUGGUGAAGACGGUUUACUGGGCUGAUACUGACGCUGAGGCGCGAAAGCAUGGGGAGCAAACAGG
rnacentral:rRNA from 1 species